rnacentral:tRNA from 4 species
GUUCGAUUAGUCAAGCGGUCAAGAUACCACCUUUUCACGGUGGGGACGGGAGUUCGAUUCUCCCAUCGAACA